rnacentral:lncRNA from 1 species
AAAAAAAAAAAAACAUAGAAAUUAAAAACUUCAAAUACCACAUCUGUGGUUUCACACUUUCUCACUUUAGUAUCUUUUGGUUUAAAGUGUAUCAAUUUAGUGCUCUGUGGUUUUAUUUUUAUCUUUUUAUUAUCGAUUCCACUAAUUUUUUUCGUUAAAUUAGUAACAAAAUUAAAACUAACGAAUACUAAAGUGAAUAUUCGAUAAAUCUAGAUGGGUAUCUGAAAUUUUUUUUAUAUAACUUAACAAAAUUAACGAAAAAAGUAUCGAAAAGAUAAAAAUGAAACCACACGACACUAACUUGAUACACUUUAAAUCAUAAAAUACUAAAGUGAGAAAGUGCGAAACUACAGAGGUGGUAUUUGAAGUUUACCCAAAAAAAAUAAUA